rfam:Myotis brandtii contig232031, whole genome shotgun sequence.
GGUGGUUCUUGGGUGACACACAGCAGAAUCGGGCUCCUUCCUCUCAGGUUCCGGGUGUGUCACCCGAGAACCGCA